UCACCCAUAAAAACAAUGAAGUCCUGUCAUUUGCCACAACACAGAUGAACGUGGAGGACAUCAUGUUAAAUGAAACAAGGCAGGCCCAGAAAGACAAAUACUGCAGGAUCUCACUUCUGGAAUCUAAACGCGUUGAAUUCGUAGUAGCAAGAAGUACGAUAUGAUUAUCAGGGGCAGAGGGAAGGAGAAGGAAAGAAAAUGGUUGGGGUGGGAAUUCAGGAGAUAUUGGUUAAAGGAUACAAAUUUUCAUUUAUGUAGGAAUAUAUUCAAGAGAUCUGUUGUUGCAACUUAAUGACUAUAGCUAAUAACAGUGUAUUAUAUACUUG